AGUGGCGAACGGGUGAGGAAUAGAUGGAUAACGUGCCCCGGACACGAGGAUAGCGGCGGAACUUCGGUUCCUUUGCGAAAGUGCCGGUAAUACUCGAUGAUCCCGCGGAAUCGCAUGGUUCUGCGGGCAAAUGCUCCGGUGGUCUGGGAGCGGUCCAUCUCCUAUCAGCUUGUUGGUGAGGUAACGGCUCACCAAGGCAUCGACGGGUAGCGGGCGUGAGAGCGUGGCCCGCCACAUCGGGACUGAGACACGGCCCGGACACCUACGGGUGGCUGCAGCAACGAAUAUUCCGCAAUGGACGAAAGUCUGACGGAGCGACGCCGCGUGUAGGAAGAAGUCCUUCGGGAUGUAAACUACUGUCAGGGGUUAGGAACACCGACCAGCCCCAGAGGAAGCACCGGCUAACUCCGUGCCAGCAGCCGCGGUAAUACGGAGGGUGCAAGCGUUGUUCGGAAUCACUGGGCUUAAAGGGCGUGCAGGCGGAACGGAAAGUGUCGGGUGAAAGCCCACGGCUCAACCGUGGAACGGCCCGGCAAACUAUCGUUCUUGAGGCAGGUAGAGGUGACUGGAACGACUGGUGGAGCGGUGAAAUGCGUAGAUAUCAGUUGGAACGCCGGAGGCGAAAGCGGGUCACUGGGCCUGUCCUGACGCUGAGACGCGAAAGCGUGGGGAGCAAACAGGAUUAGAUACCCUGGUAGUCCACGCCGUAAACGAUGCGCACUAGGUAUGAGAGGCUCUGACGCCGAUCGUGCCGCAGGAAAACUGAUAA
rnacentral:rRNA from 1 species